UUUGGAGUUCUGCGGUCGCCAAGCCGAUGGUUUAGCCUUCAGGUAUAAAAUUUUCAGAUGUUGAGUCCUCAGAGUUGACAUUUCACAAUGUAGGCUUUAAAUUAUUUGUCAACUUGAUUGUAUUUGCAAUUCUCAAAUAACUUUCAGUUUUGUUACAACACGAAGGUAAAGGAUUUGAUUGCUUUGCAUUUGCCGCCUGAUACAGGCGAUUGUAUAGCAUCUAGCGGAGAAAUUCUUUACUGCCUAUCUGCCAUUGCCAUUCAUCGUCUGCUACUACGUAACUUUUCAUUUCUCACGUGGUCGGAGUGGAGACGGUUGCUUGGUCGCCAUUUUCCUACAUUUUGGAUAUUCCUUGUCUAAUUUCCUGACUUCAGGAGACGGUGAGAUGUUAAGAGUUCUGCCAGAUUGACCAGGACUCGUGUUCAUCACCAAAUUAUUUCAUGUAGUAGGCUAAUUUACCUGUUAAGUGUUAAGUGAACACUAAGAUUAUAUUGUGAUUCCUUUUACUAAUAAGUUGAGACAUCACAAUCUUCGUAAAAGGUUUUUUUGUGUUAGGAUUCAUUUUUGACAGGAAAAUUACUUUGGAUUCUUUAAUUUUAUUUCUGAGGGUGGACGAGGUGGCAAGAUUCAAAGUUAACUGUAAAUUCCUUGACCCUUGUUCUGUGGCGUUGGAGGACAACGUCAUUUUGAGAUGACAGAAUUUUCGAGUAUUGUACAUUACGUUUGUUCAUGUUCCCAGAAAAUUGACUCGUUUUAUGCCAUGUCAAUCGAUUUCGUAAUGAAUGGUCUCAAUUAGAUAUUGUUUUUUAUUAGCUUGACUUUACUUCUCCCCGAGAUUAGUUGCUCCUGACUAGUAAUUGCUAUUUUCCGUAUCGACUUCUUCCUAAUAGUAAUUGCCACAAUCUUCUCCUGACUGAAUGUCUUGGAUGCAGUUCUAUCACGGCCAUGUUAACAGUUUGACUGAUUGGCGAUUUCACGUAGUCAUACAAAUAACACAGAUUGGAAUAAAUUUUGUUCUUUUAUUUGAAGACAUUUCUGAAAAGAUUUUCCGAACAUCAACCAGCUCUUUCUCAUGCUAAAUAAACUAUGUAUAUUCGUUUACGAUAUGUAUUGUGUAUCUAAAGUAUUGAUUCUUAAAGUUGGGAUGUGUAAUUAAAAACAGAAAUAAAUA